AUUGAACGCUGGCGGCAGGCCUAACACAUGCAAGUCGAACGGUAACAGGAAGCAGCUUGCUGCUUUGCUGACGAGUGGCGGACGGGUGAGUAAUGUCUGGGAAACUGCCUGAUGGAGGGGGAUAACUACUGGAAACGGUAGCUAAUACCGCAUAACGUCGCAAGACCAAAGAGGGGGACCUUCGGGCCUCUUGCCAUCGGAUGUGCCCAGAUGGGAUUAGCUAGUAGGUGGGGUAACGGCUCACCUAGGCGACGAUCCCUAGCUGGUCUGAGAGGAUGACCAGCCACACUGGAACUGAGACACGGUCCAGACUCCUACGGGAGGCAGCAGUGGGGAAUAUUGCACAAUGGGCGCAAGCCUGAUGCAGCCAUGCCGCGUGUAUGAAGAAGGCCUUCGGGUUGUAAAGUACUUUCAGCGGGGAGGAAGGCGAUAAGGUUAAUAACCUUGUCGAUUGACGUUACCCGCAGAAGA
rnacentral:rRNA from 1 species